GCCGAGUGCAGUAACGCGUGCCUGUAACCCAAGUGGGGGCAAUAAGGCGGCGGAAGGCUUGUCAUGGUGUCUACAUCGUCAGCAGUUUGU
rnacentral:sRNA from 1 species